GGUUGAUCCUGCCAGUAGUCAUAUGCUUGUCUCAAAGAUUAAGCCAUGCAUGUCUAAGUAUAAACAUCUUUAUACCGUGAAACUGCGAACGGCUCAUUAUAUCAGUGAUUAUUUCUUUGAUGGAACCUCACUACAUGGAUACCUGUAGUAAUUCUAGAGCUAAUACAUGCGUUAAGUCCCGACUCCUUUCGAGGGGAAGGGAUGUAUUUAUUAGAUACAAAACCAAUGGCUGCAGCAAUGUAGUCCUCUUUGGUGACUCAUAGUAACUGAUCGAAUCGCACGGCUUUAGG
rnacentral:rRNA from 1 species